GAGGGUAUAGCUCAGUGAUAGAGUGAAUGCCUAGCAUGCAGGAGGUCCUGGGUUCAAUCCCCGGUACUGCCA
rnacentral:tRNA from 1 species